GACGGAAGGUGCAAGCGUUGCUCGGAAUCACUGGGCGUAAAGGGUGCGUAGGCGGCCGUGCAAGUCUGGCGUGAAAGCCCGGGCUCAGCCCGGGAAGUGCGCUCGAAACUGCGCGGCUCGAGUGCCGGAGGGGAGAGUGGAAUUCCUGGUGUAGCGGUGAAAUGCGUAGAUAUCAGGAGGAAUACCGGUGGCGAAAGCGACUCGUCUGGACGGCGACUGACGCUGAGCACGAAGGCCAGGGAGCAAACGGG
rnacentral:rRNA from 1 species